UGAUGGCUAAUACAUGCAGUCGAACGCGUUGGCCCAAUUGAUUGACGGUGCUUGCACCUGAUUGAUUUUGGUCGCCAACGAGUGGCGGACGGGUGAGUAACACGUAGGUAACCUGCCCAGAAGCGGGGGACAACAUUUGGAAACAGAUGCUAAUACCGCAUAACAGCGUUGUUCGCAUGAACAACGCUUAAAAGAUGGCUUCUCGCUAUCACUUCUGGAUGGACCUGCGGUGCAUUAGCUUGUUGGUGGGGUAACGGCCUACCAAGGCGAUGAUGCAUAGCCGAGUUGAGAGACUGAUCGGCCACAAUGGGACUGAGACACGGCCCAUACUCCUACGGGAGGCAGCAGUAGGGAAUCUUCCACAAUGGGCGCAAGCCUGAUGGAGCAACACCGCGUGAGUGAAGAAGGGUUUCGGCUCGUAAAGCUCUGUUGUUAAAGAAGAACACGUAUGAGAGUAACUGUUCAUACGUUGACGGUAUUUAACCAGAAAGUCACGGCUAACUACGUGCCAGCAGCCGCGGUAAUACGUAGGUGGCAAGCGUUAUCCGGAUUUAUUGGGCGUAAAGAGAGUGCAGGCGGUUUUCUAAGUCUGAUGUGAAAGCCUUCGGCUUAACCGGAGAAGUGCAUCGGAAACUGGAUAACUUGAGUGCAGAAGAGGGUAGUGGAACUCCAUGUGUAGCGGUGGAAUGCGUAGAUAUAUGGAAGAACACCAGUGGCGAAGGCGGCUACCUGGUCUGCAACUGACGCUGAGACUCGAAAGCAUGGGUAGCGAACAGGAUUAGAUACCCUGGUAGUCCAUGCCGUAAACGAUGAGUGCUAGGUGUUGGAGGGUUUCCGCCCUUCAGUGCCGGAGCUAACGCAUUAAGCACUCCGCCUGGGGAGUACGACCGCAAGGUUGAAACUCAAAGGAAUUGACGGGGGCCCGCACAAGCGGUGGAGCAUGUGGUUUAAUUCGAAGCUACGCGAAGAACCUUACCAGGUCUUGACAUCUUGCGCCAACCCUAGAAGAUAGGGCGUUUCCUUCGGGAACGCAAUGACAGGUGGUGCAUGGUCGUCGUCAGCUCGUGUCGUGAGAUGUUGGGUUAAGUCCCGCAACGAGCGCAACCCUUGUUACUAGUUGCCAGCAUUAAGUUGGGCACUCUAGUGAGACUGCCGGUGACAAACCGGAGGAAGGUGGGGACGACGUCAGAUCAUCAUGCCCCUUAUGACCUGGGCUACACACGUGCUACAAUGGACGGUACAACGAGUCGCGAACUCGCGAGGGCAAGCAAAUCUCUUAAAACCGUUCUCAGUUCGGACUGCAGGCUGCAACUCGCCUGCACGAAGUCGGAAUCGCUAGUAAUCGCGGAUCAGCAUGCCGCGGUGAAUACGUUCCCGGGCCUUGUACACACCGCCCGUCACACCAUGAGAGUUUGUAACACCCAAAGUCGGUGGGGUAACCUUUUAGGAGCCAGCCGUCC
rnacentral:rRNA from 1 species